UUCACAGUAUACUGUACUUAAAAACACGGACCUCCUGUUUAUACUACUUCAUUGCAGAGUGGCACAGUUAUAAUAACUUGUCUCGGGUUGGGACUUCUUCAAGUCUCCUCAGAACCUCUGUGCCUUCAACCACUUGACUACAAAACAAAGAAUAUGAAAACAGCUGAAUACCAGGCCUAUAGGGGUGACUUUCGGAUAGAGGACCUGGUAGACCGUACCUCCCCCCUGUAUCCAGCCGUUGGGCACCACACGAUGGAACACAGAACCCUUGUAGGACAGCAGUAAGUCACUCUGUGACAGGCCUGCCUC